rnacentral:rRNA from 1 species
UACAGGGGGGGCAAGCGUUGUUCGGAAUUACUGGGCGUAAAGGGUUCGUAGGUGGCUCACUAAGUCACACGUGAAAUCCCUCAGCUUAACUGGGGAACUGCGUGUGAGACUGGAGAGCUUGAGGGUAGGAGAGGAAUGCGGAAUUCCAGGUGUAGCGGUGAAAUGCGUAGAUAUCUGGAGGAACACCGGUGGCGAAGGCGGCAUUCUGGACUAUUUCUGACACUGAUGAACGAAAGCCAGGGGAGCAAACGGG